GCGUGUUUUAAACUGACUGACGAGUUGACUGCUUGAUGACGUGACUUCGAGAUUUCAAAUAAUCUGUUAGACUGCGACACCGAGGCAACUAUGUGAAAGCGCAAAAACAUCGCCAGGAAGGCAGAGGACACGUCAAACCUGGUAUCGGAAGAUGAUGCCGUGUAGAAGCGAAAGAGACAUCUUCCCCAGAGAUUAAGCAAAUCUUCCCCAGAGAUUAAGCAAAUCUUCUAGUGAUUCCGGAAGUGACGCUGAUCUUGAAUCAAGAAAACAACAUGUACGCGGAGGAACGACUAAGGCUGUGGCAGCAGAGAUACCAAUGCCGAAACUGAAUGCGAAGUCCAAGUCCACAUCGCAUUUUUCAGUUCCAACCCACAACUCCAGCAAGGGCUCGGGCUUCGGAAAGCAAUUUUCAAGUGCAGGUACUGUGUAGUGUGUACGCUGCAGAGGCUGGAGGAAGGGCAGCAGCAGCUGACGCAGUUGGUACAAAAACUGUUUUUGUCCAAAUCGGGAGCGGCCGUUGAUGUGGAAGACCUGAGGGAGCCGUUUACCGAACCAGUGAACACCACAUUUUCAUUCAAGGUAGAUUAAGAUACCUUCAUUCAGGGGCAAUGCAAAAAAUCCUAAAACUCAUACUUAAACCAAAUUUUGACCAUUUCAGCUAAUAAUGGAGAAACUUUAUCAGCGACAUAACAGGUUUGUUGGUGCAUCUUUUUGGAUUGAAUUGCCAACAUCUUGUUGAGAAUGCAAGACAAAGUUGUAUAGGUCUGUAAAUGUACACCUUUUUGUAAGGAUGCUGAAACCAAUGUGUGUGCUGCCAAACUCUCUUAUAACCUUGUCUUCUAUAUUCAUAGACCCUUAAAUUUGAGUAUUCAUAUUUGCCUGUUAAUAAUUCAUAUCAACUCAUUUCUAUCAGUUUAUUGCAAAUAGCUUUUGUAGAUUGUUCAUGUGUUUUGUGUUGAUUUUAUAUUUGAAGUAAGAUGCAAGGCUUCUGGGAAAUCUUGACCUGCCCACUAAAUCUUUGGUCGAUCAAAAGGACAAUUUUUUACUCGGAUUUAAAGGGGAAAUCUACCCUAGAAAUUUCACUGCUUCAAUCAAAGGAGACAAAUUUGAACAAA
rnacentral:lncRNA from 1 species